GGACUGGGUUUGGGUGCAGACGUUGUUGCUUGGGCGCUUCUCCGCUGCGUGUAGGUGAAGGGGGCUUCCUGACCGAGACAUGGAUUUAGGUGCUAUUACAAAAUACUCAGCAUUACACGCCAAGCCCAAUGGACUGAUCCUUCAAUACGGGACUGCUGGAUUUCGAACGAAGGCAGAACAUCUUGAUCAUGUCAUGUUUCGCAUGGGAUUAUUAGCUGUCCUGAGGUCAAAACAGACAAAAUCCACUAUAGGAGUCAUGGUAACAGCGUCCCACAAUCCUGAGACAAUGGUGUAAAAUUGGUUGAUCCUUUGGGUGAAAUGUUGGCACCAUCCUGGGAGGAACAUGCCACCUGUUUAGCAAAUGCUGAGGAACAAGAUAUGCAGAGAGUGCUUAUUGACAUCAGCGAGAAAGAAGCUGUGAAUCUGCAACAAGAUGCCUUUGUAGUUAUUGGUAGAGAUACCAGGCCCAGCAGUGAGAAACUUUCACAAUCUGUAAUAGAUGGUGUGACUGUUCUAGGAGGUCAAUUCCAUGAUUAUGGCUUGUUAACAACACCCCAGCUG
rnacentral:lncRNA from 1 species